UUAGCAAUGAGAUGGAAGAUCAUCUGCAAGUCUGCGACCUUCUCAACACUGAUGGUAGGGGCUGGAGAGUACAGGAGAUCAUCAGAUUAUUUGGUGGUCUGCUUGCUGAUCGGACCCUCGCUACUCUUGUUCCGAUUCCUCAUAGUCAGGAUUUGAGGGGUGUGGGGUCGAUCUUGCCACCCUAGGGUUCUCUUGAAGGACCUAUUUGAGAUGUGCAG
rnacentral:lncRNA from 1 species